rnacentral:rRNA from 1 species
GACGAACGCUGGCGGCGUGCCUAAUACAUGCAAGUAGAACGCUGAGGACUGGUGCUUGCACCGGUUCAAGGAGUUGCGAACGGGUGAGUAACACGUGAGUAACCUGCCCUUGACUUUGGGAUAACUUCAGGAAACUGGGGCUAAUACCGGAUAGGAGCUCCUGCUGCAUGGUGGGGGUUGGAAAGUUUCGGCGGUUGGGGAUGGACUCGCGGCUUAUCAGCUUGUUGGUGGGGUAGUGGCUUACCAAGGCUUUGACGGGUAGCCGGCCUGAGAGAGUGACCGGCCACAUUGGGACUGAGAUACGGCCCAG